rnacentral:rRNA from 1 species
AGUGAACGCUGGCGGUAGGCCUAACACAUGCAAGUCGAACGGCAGCACAGUAAGAGCUUGCUCUUACGGGUGGCGAGUGGCGGACGGGUGAGGAAUACAUCGGAAUCUACUUUUUCGUGGGGGAUAACGUAGGGAAACUUACGCUAAUACCGCAUACGACCUACGGGUUAAAGCAGGGGAUCUUCGGACCUUGCGCGAUUGAAUGAGCCGAUGUCGGAUUAGCUAGUUGGCGGGGUAAAGGCCCACCAAGGCGACGAUCCGUAGCUGGUCUGAGAGGAUGAUCCGCCACAAUGGAACUGAGAAACGGUCCAGACUCCUACGGGAGGCAGCAGUAGGGAAUAUUGGACAAUGGGCGAAAGCCUGAUCCAGCCAUGCCGCGUGGGUGAAGAAGGCCUUCGGGUUGUAAAGCCCUUUUGUUGGGAAAGAAAAGCAGCAGGUUAAUACCCCGCUGUUCUGACGGUACCCAAAGAAUAAGCACCGGCUAACUUCGUG